UAUAUGUUGCCAAGAGGUAAGCAACACUGAUCCUCUGAUACAUGGCGAUCAUAUUUGCAUCACACAAGAGGAAGAGUUUGCCACAGUGUGUACAAACGAAGCCGUCAUAAAAACAUCUAUGGUCGUACACACAUGACAUUGGACCUAUACCUGAGAGUGAAGAAAACGAAAACAUAACGCUACACGUUGUACCGACAGUGGACGGCUUGGGUGCAUGGCAAGUUGG